AUUGAACGCUGGCGGCAUGCUUUACACAUGCAAGUCGAACGGCAGCGCGGGCUUCGGCCUGGCGGCGAGUGGCGAACGGGUGAGUAAUGCAUCGGAACGUGCCCAGUAGUGGGGGAUAGCCCGGCGAAAGCCGGAUUAAUACCGCAUACGACCUGAGGGUGAAAGCGGGGGACCGAAAGGCCUCGCGCUAUUGGAGCGGCCGAUGUCGGAUUAGCUAGUUGGUGGGGUAAAGGCUUACCAAGGCGACGAUCCGUAGCCGGUCUGAGAGGACGACCAGCCACACUGGGACUGAGACACGGCCCAGACUCCUACGGGAGGCAGCAGUGGGGAAUGUUGGACAAUGGGGGCAACCCUGAUCCAGCCAUGCCGCGUGCGAGAAGAAGGCCUUCGGGUUGUAAACCGCUUUUGUUCGGGAAGAAAUCCUCUGGGCUAAUACCCCGGGGGGAUGACGGUACCGGAAGAAUAAGCACCGGCUAACUACGUG
rnacentral:rRNA from 1 species